rnacentral:rRNA from 1 species
UACUUUUUGUAUCGUGGUCUAUAGAGAGUCAUACCAAAGUGGUUUAUCCCGAAAGUUCAGGAGCUACUUAAGAUGUAAUGUGGUCUGUUUCAUAAUACCUGCUAAGCGUUAAAGUAGCGGCGACAUACCAAGCGCAUGAGCUGAUAGCUGGUUGUUACAAAAACAUACUUUAGUAUGGGGGGAUUGAAUUAAGCUUUUCCGAUAAAUCAAGGUGGUAAAGAGCAAAGCAAUUUUAUUCGGGCUGUCGGGGAUAAGCUGGGCAGCGGGAAAAUCAUAAACAAAUCAAGAAGGUAGGGUUAGUAGUGCCCAUCCUUUUAAGUUUUGUCCAAAAUAAUUAUUUGAUAAGAUUAAUGAUGUCAUAUGUAACCCACGCAAGUAACUUUUAUGUGUGGAUUAGUAUAGAAUGAGUAGUUUAACUAUAAAGCAUGGGCUAUUAUAAAAUAUUUGCCUUAUUGUGUGAGAGUAGGUAUGAAAAAAGGUUUUUUUAAGGAACUCGGCAAAUGCUCUCUGCGCCUGUUUAACAAAAACAUCUCUUCUAGAACUAUAUUAGAAGUAGGCCCUGCCCGGUGCCCUGCGGGGUUAACGGCGGUGUUAAGCCUUAAAGUAGCGUGAUAAGUUGGCCUUUAAUUGGGGUCUGGUAUGAAGGGGUUGACGUCGGAGAAACUGUCUCGGAAAGAUAAAAUGAAAUUUACGUCCUAGUGAAAAGGCUGGGAUGGCUGUAAAAGACGAGAAGACCCUGUCGAGCUUGAGGGAUAUGAAUGUUUUAACAACAUGAUUAGGAGUUUGGCUGGGGCAGCAAUGGAGGUAGCCUCCAUUUUUAAAGCAAAGAUCCAUUAGAAAGAGAUAAUGAUAAAAGGAAAAAGUUACCGCAGGGAUAACAGCACAAGACCGCCUCAGAGGUCGUAUCGAAGGCGGUGAGUGUGACCUCGAUGUUGGAUUAGGGUGAACCCUUUCGUGCAGGAGCGAAAGUUGGUGGGACUGUUCUUCCUUUAAUACCCUACAUGAUCUGAGUUAAGACCGGCGUGAGCUAGGUCGGUUUCUA